rnacentral:rRNA from 1 species
UUGGCACUCUAAUGAGACUGCCGGUGACAAACCGGAGGAAGUGGGGAUGACGUCAAGUCCUCAUGGCCCUUAUGGGUAGGGCUUCACACGUCAUACAAUGGUCGGUACAGAGGGUUGCCAAGCCGCGAGGUGGAGCCAAUCCCUUAAAGCCGAUCGUAGUCCGGAUCGUAGUCUGCAACUCGACUACGUGAAGUCGGAAUCGCUAGUAAUCGCAGAUCAGCAUGCUGCGGUGAAUACGUUCCCGGGUCUU